GUUCCUGAGACGGGGAUGCUCAUGUGGGAGGCGUGAGGAGCUCUUGGGAACAACAUCCGUGGGGUGAAGGAAGCAGACUGUGCUAUCGAUAUGCAUGCAGUAUGACUCUCUCUGGUGGUCCUGGGCAGUUCCUCAUCAGCCCUGUGGUCACGAGGGGAGACCAGGCACGUGGGAGGCUAAGACUGAGGCUGGGUGAUGGCUACAAAUUAGAGGCCAGUCUGGUCUGCAUAGGAAACCCCAGGCUAAGAAGUCCCAGGUUAGGAAGAGCUACAUAGGGAGAUAAUGUCUCAGAAAACCAAAAAUAAGAUAAAUAAAUAAAUAAAUAAAUGGAAGAUGG